rnacentral:rRNA from 1 species
CCUACGGGUGACAGCAGUGGGGAAUAUUGCACAAUGGGGGAAACCCUGAUGCAGCGACGCCGCGUGAGUGAAGAAGUAUUUCGGUAUGUAAAGCUCUAUCAGUAGGGAAGAAAAUGACGGUACCUGAGUAAGAAGCCCCGUCUAACUACGUGCCAGCAGCCGCGGUAAUACGUAGGGGGCAAGAGUUAUACGGAUUUACGGGGUGUAAAGGGAGCGUAGACGGUGAGGCAAGUCAGAAGUGAAAGCCCGGGGCUCAACCCCAGGACUGCAUUUGAAACUGUGUGACUGGAGUACAGGAGAGGUAAGCGGAAUUCCGGGUGUAGCGGUGAAAUGCGUAGAUAUCAGGAGGAACACCAAUGGCGAAGGCGGCUUACUGGACUGUAACUGACGUUGAGGCUCGAAAGCGUGGGGAGCAAACAGGAUUAGAUACCCGAGUAGUC